AUCGCAGGCAGAUAUUAUGUCACAGAAUACCUAGGUUCAGCUGCUUUCAGUAAGGUUGUUCAGGCUCAUGAUCUUCACACAGAAGUAGAUGUUUGCCUGAAGAUUAUUAAAAACGAUAAAGAUUUUUUCGAUCAGAGUUUAGAUGAAAUUAAACUUCUGAAGCUUGUGAACAAGCAUGAUCCAGCUGAUGAACGCCACAUUCUUCGUCUUUAUGACUACUUCUAUCACCAGGAGCAUCUCUUCAUCGUAUGUGAACUCCUCCGUGCA
rnacentral:misc_RNA from 1 species